AUAUCUUCUCAGCCUUUUGGCUAAAAUCAAGUGUAUUAUCUAUUCUAAUCAGUUUAAUAUCUGAUACGUGGGCCAUCAAUCCACAUUAUAUUGAAUUAAUUUAUUGUGGGGGAGGGCACACCACAGCUGCUUACUACUGGGGCUCUUUUGCCAUACAUUGCACUACUGCAAGGGCGUCGCACAUUCU